rnacentral:rRNA from 1 species
AGCGCAGGCGGACCGGCAAGUUGGAAGUGAAAACUAUGGGCUCAACCCAUAAAUUGCUUUCAAAACUGCUGGCCUUGAGUAGUGCAGAGGUAGGUGGAAUUCCCGGUGUAGCGGUGGAUGCGUAGGUAUCGGGAGGAACACCAGUGGCGAAGGCGACCUACUGGGCACCAACUGACGCUGAGGCUCGAAAGCAUGGGUAGCAAACA